UACGAAGGGGGCUAGCGUUGCUCGGAAUUACUGGGCGUAAAGCGCACGUAGGCGGCUUGUUAAGUCAGGGGUGAAAUCCUGGAGCUCAACUCCAGAACUGCCUUUGAUACUGGCGAUCUCGAGUCCGGGAGAGGUGAGUGGAACUGCGAGUGUAGAGGUGAAAUUCGUAGAUAUUCGCAAGAACACCAGUGGCGAAGGCGGCUCACUGGCCCGGUACUGGACGCUGAGGUGCGAAAGCGUGGGGAG
rnacentral:rRNA from 1 species